AGCCGGCGGCCUGCCGCUGCGGCCGGACCAGCACUGGGAGGUGGAGCGGAAGCAGCAGCUGGCUCAGUCCAUCCGACUGCUGCAGCAGAAGGCGCGGCUGGCUGGCAUGCCGGCCCGUCCGACCGCCCCUCUGCCGGUCUCUGGCGGACCGCCGGAGCCGAUGGCGCGUCCGAGUCCUCGAGCACAGGUGGAUUGGAACCACUCAAGCUCUCACCCAGGAAAGCAGAGUACGCUGCCAGUCAACCAGUCCUCAGCUGAGCGCCAGGCAGCAGUCCAGGCCGGUCAGGCAGCAGUCUGCCGGCCCACCCAACCGUCGACCACAGGGUUGACCAGUCGUUGGGCGGCGACGGCCAGUCAGCCGGCAGGACUAGCGCCCCAAGCGCCAGCCGGCCAGAUCCCGGACAGUGGCGUCAGCCAGCCACAGGCUGCCGCGUCGGCCGCCCAGGGGACUGUGUUCGCCAGUGCCGCGGCGGCCGGGAGCGGCCAGUCAGCGGCGCUGCUUAGUCAGGCUGGCUCGCCGUUGGGCCGGGAGCGCGCGACGUCGCUCGGGCGAGCGGCCGCGGCCGCCAUUCCGGCCUCUC